rnacentral:rRNA from 1 species
CCUACGGGGUGCAGCAGGCGCGAAAACUUUACAAUGCCGGCAACGGCGAUAAGGGGACCUCGAGUGCCAGGUUACAAAUCUGGCUGUCGUGAUGCCUAAAAAGCAUUGCAUAGCAAGGGCCGGGCAAGACCGGUGCCAGCCGCCGCGGUAACACCGGCGGCUCGAGUGGUAACCGUUAUUAUUGGGUCUAAAGGGUCUGUAGCCGGCCGGAUAAGUCUCUUGGGAAAUCCAGCAGCUCAACUGUUGGGCUUUCAGGAGAUACUGUCUGGCUCGAGGCCGGGAGAGGUGAGAGGUACUUCAGGGGUAGGGGUGAAAUCUUGUAAUCCUUGAAGGACCACCAGUGGCGAAGGCGUCUCACCAGAACGGACCUGACGGCAAGGGACGAAAGCUAGGGGCACGAACCGGAUUAGAUACCCGCGUAGUCC